ACGGCACGGUGGGAGUGUCUCCGGCUGGUCUGCAGGGAGGACACCGACUGAGACCACAAACCCUGGCUCCAGUGUCAUGGAAUCAGUCACCUUUGAGGAUGUGGCCGUGGAGUUCAUCCAGGAGUGGGCAUUGCUGGACAGUGCACGGAGGAGCCUGUGCAGAUACAGGAUGCUGGACCAGUGCAGGACCCUGGCCUCCAGGGGAACUCCACCAUGCAAACCCAGUUGCGUCUCCCAGCUGGGGCCAAGAGCAGAGCCACGGGCAACAGAACAAGGGAUUCUCCAUGCCACAGGUGUAGCCUGGGAAUCUCAACUUAAACCCAAAGAGUUGCCUUCUAUGCAGGAUCUUUUGGAAGAAGCAUCCUCCAGGGACAUGCAAAUGGGGCCGGGGCUGUUCCUGAGGAUGCAGCUGGUGCCCUCCAUAGAAGAGAGGGAGACACCAUUGACUCGAGAGGACUGGCCAGCUCUCCAGGAGCCACCUUGGUCUCCAGGAUGCAUGGGACUGAAGGCUGCUGUGCAGAUUCAGAGGGUGGUGAUACCAGUGCCUACACUGAGCCACUGCAACCCAUGGGUGGCCAGGGAUUCUGCUGUGCCUGCACGAGACCCUGCCUGGCUUCAGGAGGACAAAGUGGAGGAAGAAGCUAUGGCUCCUGGGCUGCCAACCGCCUGUUCACAGGAACCAGUCACCUUUGCAGAUGUGGCUGUGGUGUUCACCCCAGAAGAAUGGGUGUUUCUGGACUCUACUCAGAGGAGCCUGUAUAGAGAUGUGAUGCUGGAGAACUACAGGAACCUGGCCUCUGUGGCUGAUCAACUGUGCAAACCCAAUGCGUUGUCUUAUUUGGAAGAAAGAGGAGAGCAGUGGACCACUGACAGGGGCAUCCUCUCAGACACCUGUGCAGGUGAGCCCAGGCGGAUCAGGUGAGCAUCAGCUCUGGUCAGUAAGGGGAGUGUCCAGUUUGGAAAUUGUCUAUCAGGGCAACCUAUUCAUACCCUUGACUGAGAAGCCUGUUUGGUUGAGCUCCCUUAUUAAAUGCCACCUUCUUUCCUUUUUCCCUUUCCUUUUUCAUCUCUGAAACUUUACAUUAAUCUCCUAGAAAGAUCUGUCAUACUUUCUCUUCAUAUUUAAUAUUUCCAUGUGUAUAUUUUAUCCAUUUCCUCCCUACUGUAUAUUCUUGCUAAUAUUUUUCCUCAACAUUAGUCACAAUCUUCAUAGAAUCCUUUUUUGGUAAAUGACCUACUAUUUCCUUCCCAUGUUCCUCUGAUUACAUAACUUCUCACCUAGCCACACACCUUAAAAUUUUCCUAACUUCUAGAUGCAUUCCUUCUCAUUGCAGUUUCUUCCCUUACUGCAAUCAGUACGGGAUCAGUAUUUGGAAAAAAAAGUCCACAUGUGCCUUGCCUACUUUUUAGGUGACCUUGAUCCCACAGUUUCUUUCUCUGUGUGCUUAACUUUUUCUUCCCUAAUUCAUUUCAGAACCUCAAUGUCAACCCCAAGAGGCAAUUCCUAGCCAAGAUACUUUUACGGAGAUCCUGUCCCUUGAUGUGAAAGGGGAGCAACCUCAGCCUG
rnacentral:sRNA from 1 species